UAUCGGUGCAGUCCAUUAUGCCGAAAGCCGUUUACCAACACUCUUUGUGCCGCGGCUUAAACAAGGGUCAUAAAGUUCAAAAACGUGAGACCGGCAUAAGGCCUUCAAGACGACGAGGCGCCCUUUCUAAACGAAUUUCUGUCAUUCGUGAAGUGAUAAGGGAGGUUGCAGGAUAUGCACCUUAUGAAAAAAGAAUAAUGGAACUCCUACGUUUGUCCCGAGAUCGUCGUGCUCUUCGAUUUGCAAAAAGACGACUGGGUACCCACAGACGCGCUAUUCGUAAAAGAGAAGAGUUACACGGUGUACUGCAAAAGACUUAAAAAAUUUUGCAUAAAAUUUACUUUCACUUGUUA